UACGGAGGGUGCUAGCGUUGAUCGGAAUUACUGGGCGUAAAGCGCACGUAGGCGGCGUUGUAAGUCGGGGGUGAAAGCCCGAGGCUCAACCUCGGAAUUGCAUCCGAGACUGCAUUUCUGGAGUACGGAAGAGGAGGGUGGAAUUCCUGGUGUAGCGGUGAAAUGCGUAGAUAUCGGGAAGAACAUCAGUGGCGAAGGCGGCCCACUGGUCCAGUACUGACGCUAAAGUGCGAAAGCGUGGGGAGCAAACAGG
rnacentral:rRNA from 1 species